rnacentral:rRNA from 1 species
UACAGAGGGUGCAAGCGUUGUUCGGAAUUAUUGGGCGUAAAGGGCGCGUAGGCGGUGCUGUAAGUCUGUGGUGAAAUCUAUGGGCUCAACCCAUAGUCUGCAUCGGAAACUGUCGGGCUUGAGUAUGGGAGAGGUGAGUGGAAUUUCCGGUGUAGCGGUGAAAUGCGUAGAUAUCGGAAGGAACACCUGUGGCGAAAGCGGCUCACUGGACCAUUACUGACGCUGAGGCACGAAAGCGAGGGGAGCAAACAGG